UUGGAAUUGUUCUUCUUCGGCUCAACAAUACCAAGGGAACCCAAAAGCCCAUAUGUUAUUGAAUCCUAAGGCCUAGAGUGCACAGUGCAUACGAAUCCCAUAUUUUAUUAUAUGGACUGCAUCAUUACAAAGGCGGGUCCAUGGACGACUGCAGAGACCAUGAUUCAGGGCCUCCCCAUUAUUUUGAAUGAUUGUAUUGCUGGACAGGGCUAGUGAGGAUGAAGUAACAAGUAAGAUUGUUACUGAGCCUGAGCACCAUGCUCAUACAAGAUCAAUAAAUGAUGAACUUACUGCAGUUUCCUUUCCUUCACGAGCUUGUCAGACAAAGAAGUUUCUAGCCAGUGACAUAAGCCGAGACAGGGAGAUUGGCUUCUUCCACUGGAAGAUUCAACAGUGUACAGCUACCCAGGAAAGGUAGAUAUAAUACCUACCAUUCCCUGUAACAGGGAAGGGAAGGUAUUUUCGGGCAAACAAGACCAAAUGGUACCUGAAUAGUUCCCAAGCAUAGAAUCUCAACUUUUGGCCAUGGUUUGGAUUUUGAUUUUGCAUUAUUAAGAGGAUAUGCUAAGGGACUAAUAUAAUUAAGUUAUUUAUAUUU